rnacentral:lncRNA from 1 species
AGGACCAUCAGCUCGGGCGCGUGAAAUGAGCACAGGGAAAGAAAGGGGUUUCUUUUCUGUUUUGUUUUAAGGUUGUCUCCUGCCCGAGUUCACCCACCUGCUCUUCCUACCAGACCACGUGGGCAGUGCACUGGAACAAAAUCUCUCUAUCAGAUUAUCUCUCCUCUGUUUGUCUCCCUCUCCACCUCUGUGUUCAUAUGCAUAUUUUCUUUCCAAAUUUCCUCUUAACAAAGUCUAAAGAAUAAUCACUGUUUCUUGCCUCUAUGAUUUUUUUGACCUCCUCUGAACCCCACACAUUGACGAAGUGCCAGCCAUAGCAAUAGUUUCAGACCCGUGGAGUCAGCUGUGCUGUUGCCAACCUCCAUCACCUGUCCCCUUUUAUCCUGGGCUCUGUUCCUGUGGAUUUGAACAAAUAGAUGAGCGGCAUCGGAAGAAAGCUUUAGCUGCAUGUCUUUGGGUGACCACGAGAGGGCAGCACGUAAGAGACCAGUGUCGGCCCCGCUGCCUUCUUGAACACACCGGAAGCCUCCUAGGAAAACUGCAGAUUUUGUCAGACUGUGAAGUAGAAGAGUCAAAGAGCCUUCAUUGCUUCCUUUUAAAUGACCAGCCUACUAAGGAAUUUAGAAUGCCCAAGUAAGGUAAGGACUGCUGGUCAGACUGGACUUCAAAAUUCCUGGAUCCUUAAGACCCAAUGCAUCAGACAAAUGUCCUGCUGGAUCCUCCCACCGUCAGCUAAGGGACAGUGCUAGCUCUCUGGUGAGGGAGAUCCCUGUGGAGGUCUCUGGCAUUCCUGGGUCAGUGGAUGGGUGGGAGAACUGCUCAGCUCCAGGUUCCAGGGCCUCUGAUCAAAGCCAACCCGGGGGGCCAGCCAGAGAUAUCGCAAACCUAAGGACUAACGUGGAAUCUACACCUGCCUUGGGAGUAAAGAACAAGCAGGGUGCUUUCCGGGAUGGCUUUGGGAUGAGAUGCCCAAGACUUAGUGCCCCCUGGCAUUGCUCAGCUCUCAGGCUGACUUCCACAGCACCCCCCUGGAAGCUUCAUUGGUGCAUCUUUGGGUCUUGAAUGGAGUGCUACAAUAUUGACGAGGAAAGUCUCCUUGGAACCACAGGAAGACAAAAGUGCAGAGUGAUUUGCUGGCCUUGGCUAGGACAGGGUCCAGGGCGCAGCCAAGGGAGGGUGAUCUAAGCCAACACAGCAUUUAAGUGGAAAUGUUUAUAGUUGCAAAGCCAGGUGAAGCUUGAAAUACAUCAUAGAGGAAAUGAGGACAAGAAUGUAGAAAAAGAGUAAAAACAGAGAGGAGAAAAAUUUACAAGCCAUCAUAGAGUGAAAGAGCUUCCCCUGCUGCCUGGGGGUGUGGGAAAUGAGAGUUGCACCUGCUCACAAGUAUUACCAGCAAUUUAAUAUCUAUCUAGAGCUUUCAACCCUGCCAUGUCAAAUUUAUUUAGCUAAAAACAACUCUUGUGGUGGUGACCUUUUAUUCAGCUAUUAUUACUCCCCUCAAUGCCUCCAAAGC